rnacentral:rRNA from 1 species
UACGAAGGGGGCUAGCGUUGUUCGGAAUCACUGGGCGUAAAGCGCACGCAGGCGGAUCGUUAAGUCAGGGGUGAAAUCCUGGAGCUCAACUCCAGAACUGCCUUUGAUACUGAGGAUCUUGAGUACGGGAGAGGUGAGUGGAACUGCGAGUGUAGAGGUGAAAUUCGUAGAUAUUCGCAAGAACACCAGUGGCGAAGGCGGCUCACUGGCCCGUUACUGACGCUGAGGCACGAAAGCGUGGGGGAGCAAACAGG